GACGAACGCUGGCGGCGUGCUUAACACAUGCAAGUCGAACGGAAAGGCCCCCUUGUGGGGUACUCGAGUGGCGAACGGGUGAGUAACACGUGAGUAACCUGCCCUUGACUUUGGGAUAACUUCAGGAAACUGGGGCUAAUACCGGAUAGGAGCUCCUGCUGCAUGGUGGGGGUUGGAAAGUUUCGGCGGUUGGGGAUGGACUCGCGGCUUAUCAGCUUGUUGGGGGGGUAGUGGCUCACCAAGGCUUUGACGGGUAGCCGGCCUGAGAGGGUGACCGGCCACAUUGGGACUGAGAUACGGCCCAGACUCCUACGGGAGGCAGCAGUGGGGAAUAUUGCACAAUGGGCGGAAGCCUGAUGCAGCAACGCCGCGUGCGGGAUGACGGCCUUCGGGUUGUAAACCGCUUUCGCCUGUGACGAAGCGUGAGUGACGGUAAUGGGUAAAGAAGCACCGGCUAACUACGUG
rnacentral:rRNA from 1 species